CAGUAGCCGCGGUAAUACGGAGGGAGCUAGCGUUGUUCGGAAUUACUGGGCGUAAAGCGCGCGUAGGCGGUUACUCAAGUCAGAGGUGAAAGCCCGGGGCUCAACCCCGGAACUGCCUUUGAAACUAGGUGACUAGAAUCUUGGAGAGGUCAGUGGAAUUCCGAGUGUAGAGGUGAAAUUCGUAGAUAUUCGGAAGAACACCAGUGGCGAAGGCGACUGACUGGACAAGUAUUGACGCUGAGGUGCGAAAGCGUGGGGAGCAAACAGGAUUAGAUACCCGGGUAGUCCCUGUCUCUUAUAU
rnacentral:rRNA from 1 species